GUGCCAGCAGCCGCGGUAAUACGUAGGUGGCAAGCGUUGUCCGGAAUUAUUGGGCGUAAAGGGCGUGUAGGUGGAUUCUUAAGUCGUGUGUCUAAGUGCGGAGCUCAACUCCGUAUAGGCGCAGGAAACUGGGAAUCUUGAGUGCAGGAGAGGAAAGUGGAAUUCCCAGUGUAGCGGUGAAAUGCGUAGAUAUUGGGAGGAACACCAGUGGCGAAGGCGACUUUCUGGACUGUGUCUGACACUGAGGCGCGAAAGCUAGGGGGGCGAACGGGAUUAGAAACCCCUGUAGUCC
rnacentral:rRNA from 1 species